rnacentral:tRNA from 1 species
GAUGGUAUAACUCAGUAGUAGAGCACAUGCUUAGCAUGCACGAGGUCCUGGGUUCAGUCCCCAGUACCUCA